UCUGAUUAGCUAGUUGGUGAGGUAAAGGCUCACCAAGGCUCCGAUCAGUAGCUGGUCUGAGAGGACGACCAGCCACACUGGGACUGAGACACGGCCCAGACUCCUACGGGAGGCAGCAGUGGGGAAUUUUGGACAAUGGGGGCAACCCUGAUCCAGCCAUGCCGCGUGAGUGAAGAAGGCCUUCGGGUUGUAAAGCUCUUUCAGCCGGAAAGAAAUCGUACAGACUAAUACUCUGUAUGGAUGACGGUACCGGAAGAAGAAGCACCGGCUAACUACGUGCCAGCAGCCGCGGUAAUACGUAGGGUGCGAGCGUUAAUCGGAAUUACUGGGCGUAAAGCGUGCGCAGGCGGUUUUGUAAGUCAGAUGUGAAAUCCCCGGGCUUAACCUGGGAACU
rnacentral:rRNA from 1 species